CCGCAUGGUUUAGUUUAAAGAUGGUCUUGCUAUCACUAAGAGAUGGUCCCGCGGUGUAUUAGUUAGUUGGUGAGGUAAUGGCUCACCAAGACAAUGAUACAUAGCCGAGUUGAGAGACUGACCGGCCACAAUGGGACUGAGACACGGCCCAUACUCCUACGGGAGGCAGCAGUAGGGAAUCUUCCACAAUGGACGAAAGUCUGAUGGAGCAACGCCGCGUGUGUGAUGAAGGGUUUCGGCUCGUAAAACACUGUUGUAAGAGAAGAAUGACAUUGAGAGUAACUGUUCAAUGUGUGACGGUAUCUUACCAGAAAGGAACGGCUAAAUACGUG
rnacentral:rRNA from 1 species